UACGGGGGGGGCAAGCGUUGUUCGGAAUUACUGGGCGUAAAGGGCUCGUAGGCGGCCAACUAAGUCAGACGUGAAAUCCCUCGGCUUAACCGGGGAACUGCGUCUGAUACUGGAUGGCUUGAGUUGGGAGAGGGAUGCGGAAUUCCAGGUGUAGCGGUGAAAUGCGUAGAUAUCUGGAGGACCACCGGUGGCGAAGGCGGCAUCCUGGACCAACACUGACGCUGAGUGAGCGAAAGCCAGGGGAGCAAACGGG
rnacentral:rRNA from 1 species